rnacentral:rRNA from 1 species
AUUGAACGCUGGCGGCAUGCUUUACACAUGCAAGUCGAACGGUAACAGGGUGCUUGCACCGCUGACGAGUGGCGAACGGGUGAGUAAUGCAUCGGAAUGUACCGUGUAAUGGGGGAUAGCUCGGCGAAAGCCGGAUUAAUACCGCAUACGCCCUGAGGGGGAAAGUGGGGGACCGAAAGGCCUCACGUUAUACGAGCAGCCGAUGUCUGAUUAGCUAGUUGGUGAGGUAAAGGCUCACCAAGGCGUCGAUCAGUAGCGGGUCUGAGAGGAUGAUCCGCCACACUGGAACUGAGACACGGCCCAGACUCCUACGGGAGGCAGCAGUGGGGAAUUUUGGACAAUGGGCGCAAGCCUGAUCCAGCCAUGCCGCGUGUCUGAAGAAGGCCUUCGGGUUGUAAAGGACUUUUGUCCGGGAGCAAAUCCUAGUGGUUAAUACCUACUGGGGCUGAGAGUACCGGAAGAAUAAGCACCGGCUAACUACGUG